rnacentral:rRNA from 1 species
AACGAACGCUGGCGGCGUGCCUAACACAUGCAAGUCGAGCGCGAAUGGAGCAAUCCUAGUAGAGCGGCGCACGGGUGCGUAACACGUGGGUAAUCUGCCCUGAAGCCCGGAAUAACCUGCCGAAAGGCAAGCUAAUACCGGAUAAGCCUACGGCCCCCUCGGGGGCUGAAGGAAAAGGUGGCCUCUGCAUGCAAGCUAUCACUUCAGGAUGAGCCCGCGGCCCAUCAGCUCGUUGGCGGGGUAACGGCCCACCAAGGCAACGACGGGUAG